rnacentral:rRNA from 1 species
GACGAAGGGGGCUAGCGUUGUUCGGAAUUACUGGGCGUAAAGCGUGUGUAGGUGGCUGUCAUAGUCAGGUGUGAAAGCCUUGAGCUCAACUCAAGAAAUGCACUUGAUACUGGGCAGCUAGAGGACCGGAGAGGAUAGUGGAAUUCCCAGUGUAGUGGUGAAAUACGUAGAGAUUGGGAAGAACACCAGUGGCGAAGGCGGCUAUCUGGACGGUUUCUGACACUAAGACACGAAAGCGUGGGGAGCAAACAGG